AUCUACGUUUAUGGGUUUGUAGCCGGAGGAUUACCGGUGCAGCAGCCAGACGUCUAGCAGUCAGACCUUCGGUAGCUACUCUUCGAGGUGAGUUUCCUUCCAGUAGUAACGGGUCUAAGGCACCAAGGCCGGCCCGUAUAGACGAGAUGUUAGUAUUGGAGUGUGGGCCGAGCCCGUAUCUCUUGGUUGAGUUGAUUAUGAUAUAUGCCAGUAUGAUAGAAUUGUCUAUACUCGUUGUCUGUGUGAUACUUGUAUAUUUUGGUUUAGCAGCUGAGUGUGGGCGAGGCCCGUAUCUCCCAGCUAACGGAGUGUGGGCGAGGCUCGUAUCUUCAUGAGUGUGGGUGAGGCCCGUAUCUCCUAGCUGUUCAUUGUAUGUUUGUAUGGUAUGAGGUGUUAUGGGGGAACUCACUAAGCUUCGUGCUUACAGCUUUCAGUUUUGGUUUCAGGUACCUCUUCUUCGAAGGGGAAGGAGCUGGCGCGGUAGCAGCCCAUCACACACAUGCCUUGUAUUCCGCACCAUGAGAUCUUCCUGGGGAUUUGUACUCUGACAUUUAUUAUGUUUUAUGAAAAUGUUUUCCAGACAUGCGGUAUCUUUUAUUAAAUGUUAUGAUCGGUGAACGUUUUAUUUCUAAUGUUUUACCUAGUAUAUGUUUUAAAAAAAUGAAAUUUUUGGCUCGUAUUUUGGGACGUUACAAGUUGGUAUCUGAGCCCUGGUUUGAGGGAUUCGGACACACCUUUGGGGGUGUCUGAACUCAAAUCGAGGGAUUAAAAGAAUUUAAAGAAGAAAAUGUUUUCUAAAAGCUAAGUAAAGGGUUUUAAGAAGGAAAAAAGUGUGUGAUGUGCGCGACCGGCCGAGCUCAAGUAAGGAUCUAGGAGUGAUGCCUUAUGUGCCUGCUCUAUGUGCCUCAGUGUAUGAAAACUGCAUGCUAGAAUUGAGUAGACAACAGUAGGAUAACCUGACUAGGUUAUGCCUGAUAGUAUGAGCUUAACAUCAUAUGCUAGUACAGUUCCUGUUAUGAGGAUAGAGUUGCUUGAGAUUGUUUCCCUUUUAUCUGAAUGCUGUUGCUUUGUGCUAUGAGGGCCUUGAGUGAUGAGAGUUAGCUGUUAGGUGAAUACGUUAAAGUCGUAGGUGACCAGGGUUGAAUAAUCUCAGAGUGUUGGACUCGACCCUAUCGCGUAGCUCUUGUUUGGGUCCUAACCGUGGUAGGGAUGAGUCCCUUACUUGAAGGAUUAUCCGAGCCUCGUUGCAUGUGAUCGUAUUCAGGUAAUGGCUAAGUGACAUUAUAAGAGGCCUUCAGCAGCUGAGGACUGGGUUGGGUGGAGUUAGAGGUCUCCUAGGAUAAGCCUAGGAUGAGUAUAGCAGUGAUCAGCGGUAGUAAAAGGGACCUGGUGGAGUCAAGGUAGUCCUUGGAGAAGGUACGGAUAGAUGUGGAAGGUAGUAUGGGCCCGUACUACUGAAAGCAGAGGAUCCGUACCCGAACUAAGGAAGGCUGAGGCAAGACCAGGGAACUUGAAAUAGAUUUGAUUCCUUAGGGGUAUCAGUAUCACCAAUGGUUGUCUGUGUGUAUUGCAGAAUGAUGGUACUACGCCAAAGGCCAGCUGGUGGCAGUUCCGGAGAGGGGUCGGGUUCGGGAUCAGGUUCCAAGCCAGUAGACGAGAGGCUACGCGAGUUCAUUGCGUCAGAGAUCACCAGAGGCAUCCUUGAGUCGACUCCCAUCAUUUUCGGGUCGAUCAAGGAAGGGAUAGUUGAGCUGAUGGAGGACCGCCUCAGGGCGUUCAGGAGCGACAUGGCAUCUGGCCAGUCAGGAUCUCGCACACUGUCCUUUAAGGACUUCCGGGGCAGUGGUGUGCCGGAUAUACACAGGGAAAAGGACCCCAUAGCUGCCAGACGAUGGAUUGCAUACAUUGAGUCUGCACAGAUGAUUAGCUUCUGCCCUGAGGGGUCGAAGGUGAGGUUCACAAAAGGGUGUUUAAGAGAUCGAGCAAGAGAUUGGUGGGAGUCCGUGGGUGACUCGUUGGGAGCCUCGGCUGUCGAGGCUAUGACUUGGUCGGACUUCGCGACCAGGUUCAGGUCAGAGUUCGCGCCGGCUGUCGAGCUUCACCAGCUGGCUAGGGAGUUCUUGGAUAUACGACAGACGACGGAGAUCACCGCCAAGUUCCGGGAGAGGGCAUUGCUGGUGCCCCAGUAUGCGGGAGAUGAGGAUAUGAGGAGGACCCGCUAUCAUGACAUGCUACGGGCCGACAUCCGGGAGCAUGUUAGCUUUUCAACUUGCCCUACCCUGGAGUCCAUGAUUGCCAGGGCGAGGGAAAGGGAGAUUGACUUAGAGCACAUUCGGAAGAGAAAGGCAGAGGCGGGGCAGGUGGUUGGGGCUUCGGGGAAGAAGCCCAAAGGAUCAGAUGGGAGGCCGAAAGGCCAAGGANNNNNNNNNNNNNNNNNNNNNNNNNNNNNNNGGUUGGGAUCAGGUUGCUACAAGUGCAGCAAGACGGGGCGCUUUAGCAGGGAUUGUCUUGCUCCUGUCUCAGUUGUUCAGACAUCUGAGUUGUUGUGUUUCCACUGCAACCAGAGGGGCCACAAGAGGGCUAAUUGCCCCCAGUUGACAGAAUUAGUUCCGGUUAAGGCGCCGGCUCCAGCUACCCUGCGGAUUACAGAUGGUCGGCAGGGCAAGGCAGAGGCUCCCGUGGUGAGGAGUCGGGCGUUUCAGUUGAUGACAGAGGAGGCACGCGCCGCACCCGAUGUGGUGACGGGUAUGAUUCUUUCCCUUUAUCUUUUUUUUAUGAUGUUAUGAUAUUGAUAUGUGCUCUGUAUAUAUGCAUUAGGAUCGUUCCAUGUGAACGGUAUUCCUGUCCAGGUAUUGUUUGACUCGGGUGCCACCCGGUCAUUUGUUUCCCUUGCGCUUAGCAAGAGGUUUACUGAGUCUUCGGGCAUGUUGGAUUGCCCUUUAGAGGUGGAGAUUGCCGAUGAUCGAUCAGUACGAGCGUCAGCAGUGUUCAGGGAUUGUGUUAUCAGGUUGUUUGAGGAGCGUUACUUGGUGGAUUUGGUUCCCAUUCCGUUGCGUGGGAACAAGGUGAUUAUAGGCAUGGAUUGGUUGAGCCCUAAUAGGGCGGUGAUAGAUUACGCACAGCAGCUGGUGCGGAUCAGGACCCCGAGUGGGGGAGAGUUGGUGAUCCACGGAGAGAGGCCACAACGUGGACCCACAGUAUGUUCAGCAACAAGGGUUGGGUGCUACCUUCAGCAGGGUUGCGCGGGAUAUGUCGCGUACGUUAUGGAUACCCAGGAGGCGGGUAAGGCGACGGUGAGCGAGGUUCCAGUGGUGCGAGACUACGCUGAUGUGUUCCCGGAGGAGCUUCCUGAAAUAUCUCCGGAGCGUCAGGUAGAGUUCAGGAUCGACCUAGUUCCUGCUGCGGCUCUGAUAGCCAAGGCGCCCUAUCGAUUGGCUCCUCCCGAGAUGCAGGAGUUGUCUAUGCAGCUGCAGGAGCUGCUAGACAAGGGAUUUAUUCGACCAAGCAGUUCACCCUGGGGAGCCCCGAUCCUGUUUGUGAAGAAGAAGGACGGGUCGCAUCGGAUGUGUAUUGAUUAUCGGGAGCUGAAUAAGGUAACAGUGAAGAACCGUUACCUAAUCCCGAUGAUUGAUGGCCUUUUUGAUCAGUUGCAGGGAGCAUCUUGGUUCUCCAAGAUUGAUUUGCGUUUAGGUUAUCAUCAGAUGAGGGUCAGAGAGGUGGAUGUACAGAAGACCGCUUUUCGGACGCGUUACGGCCACUAUGAGUUCGUGGUGAUGCCGUUCGGGCUCACCAAUGCUCCUACCGUGUUCAUGGACCUCAUGAACCGCGUAUGUAGACUGAUUCUGGAUCGGUCUGUGAUAGUUUUCAUUGAUGACAUCUUGGUUUAUUCCAAUACGCAGGAGGAGCACGAGGAGCAUCUGAGAGAGGUUUUGGAGACCUUGAGGAGGGAGAGCUUGUACACCAAAUUCUCCAAAUGUGAGUUUUGGUUGCGCGAGGUGCAGUUUCUUGGGCACCUCGUCAACCAGAACGGAAUUUCGGUAGACCCAGACAAGGUGGAGGCCGUGAUGAGAUGGGAGGUUCCGAAGUCUCCAUCCGAGAUUCGGAGUUUCCUGGGAUUAGCGGGCUACUAUCGGAGAUUCAUUCAGGACUUCUCCAAGAUAGUCGUACCCCUGACGCGACUGACUAAGAAAGCCGUGGUCUUUCGAUGGGGGCCUGAGCAGCAGGCAGCAUUCGAGGUCCUGAGAUAGAGAUUGUGCGAGGCGCCAAUCUUAGCCCUGCUAGAGGGCGUAGAGGAUUUUGUGGUAUAUUGUGACGUGUCCAUUUUGGGGUUGGGCGCGGUGCUGAUGCAGAGAGGUCAUGUCAUUGCCUACGCUUCGAGGCAGCUGAAGCCUCACGAGGCGAACUACCCGACGCACAAUUUAGAGUUGGGGGCGGAGGUCUUCGCCCUCAAGAUUUGGCGACAUUACCUCUAUGGGGUUCGGUGUACCAUUUACACGGACCACAAGAGUUUGAGGUACCUCAUGGAGCAGCCGACUCUGAACAUGAGGCAGCAUCGGUGGCUCGAUGUGGUGAAGGAUUAUGAUUGUGAGAUCCUUUACCACCUGGGGAAGGCCAAUGUGGUGGCCGAUGCGCUUAGCCGCAANNNNNNNNNNNNNNNNNNNNNNNNNNNNNNNNNNNNNNNNNNNNNNNNNNNNNNNNNNNNNNNNNNNNNNNNNNNNNNNNNNNNNNNNNNNNNNNNNNNNNNNNNNNNNNNNNNNNNNNNNNNNNNNNNNNNNNNNNNNNNNNNNNNNNNNNNNNCGGAAGAGUGAGCGCAUAGUGGGUCAGGUUUCCUCCUUUGAUUAUGAUAGCAGGGGAUUAUUGUCAUUACACCGCAGGGUAUGGGUGCCGUACCUCGGAGGCGUGCGCCAGGUGUUGAUGGAGGAGGCGCACAAAUCUCGAUUCUCCAUUCAUCCCGGGCGACGAAGAUGUAUAGGGAUCUUCGUCUGGACUAUUGGUGGCCCUGCAUGAAGCGGGAUGUGGCUUGGUACGUCGAGCGGUGCUUGACUUGAAGGAAGGUCAAGGUCGAGCAUCAGAGACCGCACGACAAGAUGCAGCCGUUGGAUAUCCCGUUGUGGAAAUGGGAAGAUAUUACGAUGGACUUUAUCACGAAGCUACCCAGAACCGCGCGGGGAGUGGAUUCUAUAUGGGUCAUUGUGGACUGGUUGACCAAGAGCGCCCAUUUUAUCCCAAUUCAGGAGAGCAUCUCGGCUGAGAAGUUGGCCGGCAUUUAUAUCAGGGAGGUAGUGGCGCUGCACGGGGUGCCCGUAUCAGUGAUUUCAGACAGAGAUGUGCGAUUUACUUCCAGGUUUUGGAAAAAGUUCCAUGACGAGUUGGGUACUCGUCUGCAUUUCAGCACCGCUUUUCACCCGCAGACGGAUGGUCAGAGUGAGCGGACCAUCCAAACGUUGGAGGAUAUGUUGCGGGCAUGUGUUCUAGAUUUCGGAGGUAGUUGGGAUACCUACCUCCCGUUGGCGGAGUUCUCAUAUAAUAAUAGCUAUCAUGCAAGCAUUGAUCGUCCUCCCUUCGAGAUUUUGUAUGGAAGGAGGUGCAGGACCCCGAUAUGUUGGGGAGAGGUUGGCCAGAGAGUCAUGGGGAGCACCGAAGUGGUUCUCCAGAUGACAGAGAGGAUCUAGCAGGUCCGGAGUAGGCUCCAGACUGCCCAGAGUUGGCAGAAAAGUUAUGUCGACAAGCGUCGUUCAGACUUGGAGUUCCAAGUCGCGGAUAUGGUUCUCCUGAAGGUGUCGCCGUGGAAAGGCGUCAUCUGAUUCAGGAAGCGAUGCAAGUUGGGCCCAAGGUUCAUCGGGCCAUUCAGGGUUGUAGCCCAGGUGGGAAAGGUGGCAUAUAGGUUGGAUCUGCCAGCCGAACUCAGCCAGAUCCAUAACACUUUCUACGUCUCUCAAUUGUGGAAGUGUUUGGUAGAUGACUCGGCAGUGGUGCCCUUGGAAGAUAUUCAGGUCGAUGACAGCCUGAAUUACAUCGAGCGGCCUGUGGCGAUCCUCGACAGGAAGUCGAAGGAUCUAAGGAACAAGAGGGUGGAACUCGUGAAGGUGCAAUGGCAACACCGAAAGGGAUCAGAGUGGACUUGGGAGCCGGUGGAGGAGAUGAUUGAGCAUUACCCCGAGCUGUUUCAGGAUCGAGCAGCAGACUUCGAGGACAAAGUCUGAAAUAAGUGGAGGAGAUUUGUAGCACCUGGUUCCUGGUACGUACUUCUUGUGAUUAAUAUUUUAAUUUUAUGCAUUUUUGCCUUGGACUCGGCGAGUUGAAGGACCAACUCGCCGAGUAGGAGCGGGAUAAGGCGCGGGGUUUGAACUUUGUACUCGGCGAGUCGGUCCCCGGACUCAGAGAGUAGACCCUGUUUGGACAAAAACCCUGAUUCGGGCAUUUGCACCCUAUUUAAACGCUUUAACUUGGCCUCUUUAGUCCCUAACACUUCUAGAGAGCUGUAGAGAGAAACCCUAGCCCCCAUAUUGUUCUUAAGAGUGAUUUUGGCCUUGUGGAGAAGGAUUGGAGCUUAGAGAAAGGAAGAGGAGGUUGAAGUGUGCAAGGAGGGGAGGUAGAUCCGGGAUCUACACUGUGAGAAGCUUCCAUUCAGGUAGAAAAGUUCUUACCUUGUUCAUUAGUUCGUUGGAUCCCCUUUUUGUCCCAAAUUAGUGGUUUCAAGCCCUAAAACAUUAAUUCCAUGUAUUUAUGCUUUAAGUUCUGAAAGGACUUCAGAUUGGGACCUUAUGGACAUCCUAGAAGUAUAAAGUCUCUGUGGUUGUGGUUGGGGUUAUUGAGGUCCCUAUUGAGUGUAUGACUCAGUGAGUGGAAAGAGGGACUUGGCGAGUAUGAUCGGGUUAGUAGGAGAAGGACUCGGCGAGUCUAUGCCACGACUCGGCGAGUUUAGUCAACUGGAAGUUGACUUUGACCAAGAGUUGACCUUGGACCAGGGAUGGGUCAGUCAAUUGACCUAAGGGUAUUUAUGAGUGGCUAAUCUAUGUUUAUGGAUUUUUAGUCGGAGGAUUACCGGUGCAGCAGCCAGACGUCUAGCAGUCAGACCUUCGGUAACUACUCUUCGAGGUGAGUUUCCUUCCAGUAGUAACGGGUCUAAGGCACCAAGGCCGGCCCGUAUAGACGAGAUGUUAGUAUUGGAGUGUGGGUCGAGCCCGUAUCUCUUGGUUGAGUUGAUUAUGAUAUAUGCUAGUAUGAUAGAAUUGUCUAUACUCGUUGUCUGUGUGAUACUUGUAUAUUAUGGUUUAGCAGCUGAGUGUGGGCGAGGCCCGUAUCUCUCUGAGAGUGGAGUGUGGGCGAGGCCCGUAUCUCCCAGAUAGCGGAGUGUGGGCGAGGCCCGUAUCUCCCAACUAGCAGAGUGUGGGCGAGGCCC
rnacentral:lncRNA from 1 species